AAAAAUGGAAAAAAAAAAAGCAUUUAUAUCAUAAUUCUAUUGGACAGCACUAUUCUAACCAAAUAUUUGUAGUAAAGCAGAAAAGACCUCAAUUAGGGUGAAGAUGAAGACUGGAGAUGUGAAUUGUGGAUCAUCCCUGCAUGCAGAUAAACUUAAAAGGAGAGAAUGUGGUAAGAAUUUCUAAUAUUUAUAUAGUCAGGACUUUUGAAAAGGCAUACUGUAAGAGAAACAUAAUAGUUUAGAAUUUUUUCAUUC
rnacentral:lncRNA from 1 species